rnacentral:rRNA from 1 species
GACGAACGCUGGCGGCGUGCUUAACACAUGCAAGUCGAACGAAGUGGCGAACGGGUGAGUAACGCGUAAUCAACCUGCCCUUCAGAGGGGGACAACAGGUGGAAACGACUGCUAAUACCGCAUACUGAAGGAGGGGAUUGAGUCUGCUUAUGUCGUUGGAGGGGUAACGGCCCACAAAGGCGAGGAUCAGUAGCCGGUCUGAGAGGAUGAACGGCCACAUUGGGACUGAGAAACGGCCCAGACUCCUACGGGAGGCAGAAGUGGGGAAUCUUCCGCAAUGGACGAAAGGCUGACGGAGCAACGCCGCGUGAGUGAUGACGGCCUUCGGGUUGUAAAGCUCUGUUAAUCGGGACGCGGUACCGGAAUAGAAAGCCACGGCUAACUACGUGCCAGCAGCCGCGGUAAUAC